UCGAACGGUGAAGCCCAGCUUGCUGGGUGGAUCAGUGGCGAACGGGUGAGUAACACGUGAGCAACCUGCCCUCCACUUCGGGAUAAGCCUUGGAAACGGGGUCUAAUACCGGAUAUGAGCUCGCAUCGCAUGGUGUGGGUUGGAAAGUUUUUCGGUGGGGGAUGGGCUCGCGGCCUAUCAGCUUGUUGGUGGGGUGAUGGCCUACCAAGGCGUCGACGGGUAGCCGGCCUGAGAGGGCGACCGGCCACACUGGGACUGAGACACGGCCCAGACUCCUACGGGAGGCAGCAGUGGGGAAUAUUGCACAAUGGGCGCAAGCCUGAUGCAGCGACGCCGCGUGAGGGAUGACGGCCUUCGGGUUGUAAACCUCUUUCAGCAGGGAAGAAGCGCAAGUGACGGUACCUGCAGAAGAAGCGCCGGCUAACUACGUGCCAGCAGCCGCGGUAAUACGUAGGGCGCAAGCGUUGUCCGGAAUUAUUGGGCGUAAAGAGCUCGUAGGCGGUCUGUCGCGUCUGGUGUGAAAUCCCGAGGCUCAACCUCGGGCUUGCAUCGGGUACGGGCAGACUAGAGUGCGGUAGGGGAGACUGGAAUUCCUGGUGUAGCGGUGGAAUGCGCAGAUAUCAGGAGGAACACCGAUGGCGAAGGCAGGUCUCUGGGCCGCAACUGACGCUGAGGAGCGAAAGCAUGGGGAGCGAACAGGAUUAGAUACCCUGGUAGUCCAUGCCGUAAACGUUGGGCACUAGGUGUGGGGCUCAUUCCACGAGUUCCGUGCCGCAGCUAACGCAUUAAGUGCCCCGCCUGGGGAGUACGGCCGCAAGGCUAAAACUCAAAGGAAUUGACGGGGGCCCGCACAAGCGGCGGAGCAUGCGGAUUAAUUCGAUGCAACGCGAAGAACCUUACCAAGGCUUGACAUGUACGAGAAAGCCCCCGAGACGGGGUUCUCUUUGGACACUCGUACACAGGUGGUGCAUGGUUGUCGUCAGCUCGUGUCGUGAGAUGUUGGGUUAAGUCCCGCAACGAGCGCAACCCUCGUCCUAUGUUGCCAGCGGGUUAUGCCGGGGACUCAUGGGAGACUGCCGGGGUCAACUCGGAGGAAGGUGGGGAUGACGUCAAAUCAUCAUGCCCCUUAUGUCUUGGGCUUCACGCAUGCUACAAUGGCCGGUACAGAGGGCUGCGAUACCGUAAGGUGGAGCGAAUCCCAAAAAGCCGGU
rnacentral:rRNA from 1 species